CUGAACCAGCCAAGUAGCGUGAAGGAUGACUGCCCUAUGGGUUGUAAACUUCUUUUAUAUGGGAAUAAAGUGAGCCACGUGUGGCUUUUUGUAUGUACCAUACGAAUAAGGAUCGGCUAACUCCGUGCCAGCAGCCGCGGUAAUACGGAGGAUCCGAGCGUUAUCCGGAUUUAUUGGGUUUAAAGGGAGCGUAGGCGGAUUAUUAAGUCAGUUGUGAAAGUUUGCGG
rnacentral:rRNA from 2 species